GGGACAAACAUGCAUAGGUUGGUAAUUUGUAACCCAAGCUUUGCAUAACAUGAAGGAAAUACUACCCUUUCUGAUCAAAAUGUUUAUAAGGAAGGAAGUCCUGCACGGAGAAGAAUGGAUGACAGAUUGAUUAAAAUAGGAAUUAUUAGUUCAUCCACGGUUAGCAUAAAGAGGUGGUAAAAUGCAUGAAAAAAAAAAUACUGUAAAAAAACAGACAGUGGAAAAGAUGUUUCACCUGCAACAGAGACCAGUCAUAUUUAGUUUACUUUAUAUAUGUAUUGUGAAAUACUGUUUCUUAUAAAGUUGUUCUCUUUUCCUUUCUGAGUGAUGAUGCCUCAACACACAGUCUGAGAAGUGCUGGUAAAUAAUAAUGUGAUUUCUUUUUUAUCUUAUGCACGUUAUGCUCUGGACUCCUUAUUUUAAAGGCUGUUGCCAUCAGAGCCAAAGACAGAUUUACAGCUGACUUCAAAGGAGACAGAAUUGUAGUCUUUGCCUGCGUGCCCUACAGACAGGACUGGAUUUAGUUCUGUUACUUGGCCAUUCGACAUUCUAGGCAGAAGUGUUCAAGUACACGCUGAUAAAUCCUACUGGCUGCACUGACACACACACUGUUGUAGCUCUGUGAGGGAUGUUAGUGUAUGUUCACUUGGUGAAGUUUCUGUUGUUAGCAGAAGCUUUACCGCCUUGCCUGUCACACUUCUGGUUGCAAGUGCAAUGCUAAUUCCAAGUAAAAAGAUGGUCUCUUCCUCAAAAGGAUUUUCAGACUAAAUAAAGCUGCCAGUCUGAAAGGCUGAAGUGGUGGUGCAGGAAGGCUGUUCCACAUUAGGAUCUCCUGUGAGCCCGGUCAAUUAGCUUUGCAGAGAUUUUCGGAUGUCUAUGGUGCAGAUGCCUAUAUUGGAGCUGGUUGUCUCAAUGGCCUCAGCAGUCAGCAGUGCCAUUUUUAAGAUGUGAUUCAUCUCACCCUACUGAAGAUGCCUAAAACAGAUCAAAUUGUGCUUUGCUUCUCUCCAUUGACUCCAAACAGUUUAAGCGAAUGCCUAUCUGGCAUUCCACAUCCUGUCUGUGCUCUGCACAGAUUCGAUUGAUUUCCUUCCAUUCAGAGAUGCUUCUUAACAUGAAAUCAGCAUUGCCGCAUGAGGGGCCACAGCAAUGAUUGCUCUUUGAAAGUUUUCUCCUUAGCAGAAAGUUUUGCACAAACUCCUCAUUCAUUUUAUAAGAAACAGCUUAUGCUUAGGAAAAAGAGAUGACUUUUCCAAGGGAAAAAUAAUAUGGCAAGAUAAUACUGAUCUACUCAGCAGGCUGUGAUCUGUCUGUUGGCUGCUAGACCAUAUCUGAGCUUAUUAAAGCCAUCACAGAAAGAAGUUGGAAGGACUUUGUGGUUACUCACAGGCAGGUCCUCUAAGAUGUUGCCAGGUAGCAUCUAAUUAUAAAUGGGUUUUUAAAUGCAAUGUAAUUAAAUCAAAAGAUAGCGUCAGCAAUAUGAUCGAAAGCGAAUGAUCUAUAUCUCACCUAAAUAGUUUCACAAUUACAGUUACAAUGAAUAGACCAGAUUUGGAGAAACAUAAAUGUACUUAAUCUUCCAAAAUGUACGUUACCAGGUACUAAACCUAUUGAUAAGGUAGAAAAUUAAUGUAGAAGGUAUUUUUUAGUCUGAUAUCAAAACUUCAUCAGAACCCCAUAAAGCAAGGGUUUGCAUUAUGGUUUGGGAUUAACAUAAAGACAUUCAGCCUAAAGCAGCCUGUUGCCUUCAACAGCAGAAAACUUACAUGGCCUUGCAACCUGAAAGCUGUCAAAUACCACAUACGUGAUUGUGGAGUUUGGACCCCACUGUUGCUAGCUCAGACAUUCAAUAAAACAUCUCAGUCGACACUUUAAAAGAAUGAUCGUGUCUUCUGAUGAGAGCAGUAGGCUGAGUCAGGAGAUCAAUGCUUAAUUUUUAAACUGCUGCAGAUUAUUCUACCUUGGGUAAAUUAGAGCCUGUUUGAACUGUGGUAGAAACUACCUUCUUCCUCUACCACUUUGUGAAGCCAUGAGGACACAAACGGGUUCAGCUGUGAAUUUUUAAAACUACAAAUUCAACAGCUAACUAUAAACUUCACUUGGGAUGAUCGUAUUUGAUAGCCCGCCUGCAUUUUCCUUUAUGCUUCAUUGCUUGCCUUACACUAUCCGAACAGUUCCUCGGACUUUCCUUAUUAUAUUCUCCUGCCAGACGCUAACUUAAAAAAAUCCUUUUUUAUUUUAGCUCUUCUUCGUUACUCUGACGGUUAAUUUUGAACUGACAGAACUUCUGAUGAAUACAGAAUGUUUUCAGGGACUACGUCUGUGACGGCCUGCGAUACCGAGUCUCACUGUGCUCAGGUUGGUGUCUCGCCAAGUCCACACAGUGCCAGAAGACAUUGAUUCAAAAAGACAUCCGAGAAGGCUGAAAUGAUACUUCUGAAUUGUAUCUCCUUCUCAAUUCCUUUUUUAAAGCGUAUGCUUUUGUGUUUCCCUUCAUCACAUACUCAGACUAACACAGCCCCACGAAACAAUAAACAGUCCUGAACUGCCAGCCUUUAACUUUUACUGUUUGCUCAGGAAGUGUUUGAGAGCAAAUCUGAAAAAGCAUUAUUUCAGUUUUUUGACCAAACGUAUGAUGAAUAACAGGUUUUGCAAUAAAAGUAGCUCAGGAAAAGACAGGAUGCAUUCUCUUUGUAAUAGCCAUGCUUGACUAUGUCAAGCAAAG
ensembl:lncRNA